ensembl:misc_RNA Metazoa_SRP Metazoan signal recognition particle RNA
GCCGGACGCGGUGGCGCGCGCCUGUAGUCCCAGCUACUCGGGAGGCUGAGAUGGGAGGAUCGCUUGAGCCCAGGAGUUCUGGGCUGUAGUGCGCUAUGCCGAUCGGGUGUCCGCACUAAGUUCGGCAUCAAUAUGGUGACCUCCCGGGAGCGGGGGACCACCAGGUUGCCUAAGGAGGGGUGAACCGGCCCAGGUCGGAAACGGAGCAGGUCAAAACUCCCGUGCUGAUCAGUAGUGGGAUCGCGCCUGUGAAUAGCCACUGCACUCCAGCCUGGGCAACAUAGCGAGACCCCGUCUCU